UACGUAGGGUGCAAGCGUUGUCCGGAAUUAUUGGGCGUAAAGAGCUCGUAGGCGGUUUGUCGCGUCUGCUGUGAAAACUCGGGGCUUAACCCCGGGCCUGCAGUGGGUACGGGCAGACUAGAGUGCGGUAGGGGAGACUGGAAUUCCUGGUGUAGCGGUGAAAUGCGCAGAUAUCAGGAGGAACACCGGUGGCGAAGGCAGGUCUCUGGGCAUUAACUGACGCUGAGGAGCGAAAGCAUGGGGAGCGAACAGG
rnacentral:rRNA from 1 species